AGAGUUUGAUCCUGGCUCAGGAUUAACGCUGGCGGCAUGCCUAAUACAUGCAAGUCGAACGAGAGUAUUUAUACUCUAGUGGCGAACGGGUGAGUAACACGUGGGUAACUUAUCUUAAAGACGAGGAUAACAGUUGGAAACGACUGCUAAUACUGGAUAGGUUAAAUUAACACAAGUUGAUUUAAUUAAAGGUGCUCCAAAGCAGCACUUUAAGAGAGGCCUGCGUUGCAUUAGCUAGUUGGUGGGGUAACGGCCUACCAAGGCUACGAUGCAUAGCUGUGCUGAGAGGCAAAACAGCCACACUGGGACUGAGACACGGCCCAGACUCCUACGGGAGGCAGCAGUAGGGAAUUUUCGGCAAUGGACGAAAGUCUGACCGAGCAAUGCCCGCGUGAACGAUGAAGGUCUUCGGAUUGUAAAGUUCUGUUGUUAGGGAAGAAUAGAGUAAUUAGGAAAUGAGUUACUUUUGACGGUACCUAACUAGAAAGCCCCGGCUAACUAUGUGCCAGCAGCCGC
rnacentral:rRNA from 1 species